UUUACCUUCAACGUCUUCCACUCAAACAGAACACGCCUCGCUGCGAUGGGACAAAUAUUUUUAUUUUAUUAUUCGUAAAUAACCGCACGUAUGUGUUAGACAUAGUCAAAAAUGUUUAAUAUUAUUUUAAAGUGGUUGUAAAAAUAUAAAUAUACUUGAAUAAAUAAGCCUGAAAAGGGUAGAAUGUCCGGCGUUUCCGGUGAGAUUUAGAACGGACAAACGAGGUGAGCGACGCGCCAAAAAAACAAACAAACCAAACACGAAUCAACCGUGAUUUAUAUUAUUAUUAUCCGUUUUAGCUUAUUUUAUGAACUGAAAAUGACGGAAUUAGUUUUUAACAAGAGGUUACCGGUGCUGGUGAAGAGUAGAGAUACGGAUGAAAGGAUUUUGUGGUACGGCUGACGGAUGAUACCGAUCUAUAACAUCAUAUCAGAAGAGGAUUUUCAGAGGAAGAAAAGAAGCAGUUGAUGAAAAACUAAGAUCUUACCAGACAACUAUACUAUGCACAACAAGUCAAGUAUUUGGUCUGACCUUGGGGAACUUGUUGGUUUGGACUCCAAGUACUUUGAGCAACGAGAUGACAGCAUUCCACUCCGAGGUCUUUUACCCAGCAUGCAUUUGAAUAGAGCUCCAUUCCUGCUUCGUGUCGGACUCCACUACUACGUGUCGCUGUGUGAUGAUGACUAAUAGCGGCCGGUGCCAACCAGACAUCACUUCAGUCUAUUAUGAUGGACUUCAGAGGAUGAACUGAUGCCAACUACAACAAUAAGACAUGGGCACUUCGUAUGCCACGGCCUGAACCUUGGAUUUAGGGUUGACCUGCGAUGCACCUCACUGAUCUCUGCCUGCAUCACCUCGGUCUAAUGAUGGAUUACACUCUUGAGAGGGAACACAUACGAUUAACAAUCUCAUUUUAUCUAAUUAUACAAUGAUGAUUCAUCAACUUUAUAGACAGUUUUAUCUUCUGUAAAGCUGCUUUGAAACAAUGUGUGUUGUUAAAGGCGCUAUACAAAUAAAAUCGUAGUAUUGCCUUAAUCGCAUGAUGCAGUGCAUGAGACAACGGAAGUGAAUUAUGUACAUUUUGGGAGGGUUUAAAAGGCAGAAAUGUGACCUUUAUAUUAAUUCUUCUAUUUGAGCUGUAAAGUUGUUUUGGGGUUUACAGUGUUGUCAUUAUGGUAACAAAAUUGUAUAUAAAUUGACAAAGAAUAGGUUAGUAAUCAAUUUUAUCACAAUAAAAUCAUGUUAAGACACAUUGUUUAUGUCUUGUCUAUACUUUUGAAAACAUGAGUAUUUUAACGUUUAUGGAUUAGUCCCCAUUCACUUCUAUUGUAAGUGUCUCACUGUAACCGUGAAUGUUUUUUAUGUGGUAAUCAACAUUAUGCCACAAAUGAUGUCGUUUGAACUUAAAAGCAAACCUGAAUUGUCAUUAAAUCACAUAGUUCCGUUAACUGCA